rnacentral:sRNA from 1 species
AUCCUACUAAUGGUCUAAUGUCUUACCCAGAACUAAGAGAUCCCUGGUCCCUUGAUCCUAAAAAGCCGACCUUUCCCAAUUUUCUCCUAAUGCCAGUCUACCCUUGCUGUUUCUUGCUUUGUGGGUAGAGGUUGGUAGCCUUUGCUGCAUACCCGGAGGUUUCGCCUCUGAUUUCACAGGCAAAUCUCCAAGCAAAUUCCCAGUCAGCAUCUGGAGCCAACUGGGAGAAAGUGGCUGGCCCUGUGAGAUUCUCCGGCACAAAGCUUGGAGAGCAGCCCAGCCGCGUAUCGGGGAAGCGGGGAAGCGCGGAGGGUUUCUCAGCUCACAGACCAGCCUGCUGUUUUGCAGACAGCAAGCCAGAAGCCUCCAGCAGAUGUACGCGGGAGACACGAGGUUUUAUUACGGAUUCCACCAAAAGUUUGGCCACCGUUUUAAAACAUAUUUGUAAACAUUUUGCUCCCCUCUCAGCUGGCAGCAUUUAAAAAAAAAAGAGAGACAGUACAAGAAAACAACCAUCUGGAAUCAACAUUGGUUCACGAUCCUUACAUAUCUGACUGCAAAGAUGUACGGUCCCACUCGCUAAAGCAUGUGACAGUUCUAAUUCGUGGAGAUAAACUCCAUGGCCGGAAGUUUGUGCCGUCAGAUGAGAAGAAAACAAUGUUUCAGCUUAUAUGCCAUGGAGACAUUAGCCUCUUGCUUACUUACCCACUUCGAUGAUGUAUGUUUUGAAGAGAGAGGAGAUGUGCACAGAUGGUAAGUCAGUGAUUUUGUUUCCCUUUGUUGGGUCAGGGAGCAAACCCAGGAACAGGCAGGUGAGAGGCAAGUGUGUUAGCAGGAAGCUGCCCCCCAUUCCCUGAGCCCUAGUAUUUCAAAUAGCUUUUCCUGGGAGAACAGGUAAGGUAGCCCACUGUGAGUCAAAGAAACAGUUCCAUUUUUGUCUCACACGUGCAGGUUUGGUGUUGGUCUUUUUAUCACAAGAGAUUGGAGCCCGUGUGUGCUGAGGACACACAUUACCACCGAAGUGUAUCAGCCUUCACCAUUCAUUGCCAAACACAAGAUUCUGUGCUAAGGAUGAGCUUGCAAAUAGUGACUGCAUCCAGCCCUUUAUUUUAGAAUAAGAAGAAAUAAGUGACAAGGAGGUAAAGGGAUACUACUACAUAAAAGCCAGAUGUGGCGCAGGCAAGAUGGCAUAGUGGGCAGAGUCCUAUGCACAUGGGCCUGGUGAUCUUAGAUAUUCAACAGACAACCAACUCCUAAGAC